GACAGGAUUUGGGGCCAACCUAUAAGUGCUGAGUGGUGGAGGUGCCAAAGGGAAGGAGGAUGGAUCCAGAGAUGGAGGGAGCAGCCAUUCCAAGGCAUGAAUCAUUGCUCUGAACCACCCUCUUUGGUGGAGGCCACCUCUCCUUCUUCCCACAGCCCGUAGAGGGAGCUGAUGCUGCUUUCAGUCAUCCAGCAUGACAUCUGGCCUCGGUGCUUGCAUAAGAGUGGGAGGCCCAAAUACCUGCGUGGCUUGGGCAUUUUGGAGCCACCCGGGAGGCCUUUGGCCUCUCCUUGCCGUGCAGCUCUUGCAGCAGCUCAUCGUGUUGGGGCAGAGGGUGAGAUAAGGUAACUGGAGGCGUUACAGGUGCAUUUCAACAUCUCUUCAGACUGUCCUCCCCGGGGUUCCCCUCUCUGUUUGGGUUUCCCUCCUCAUCCAAUCAACAGAUGAGCUAUCAAUGGCAUCUCUUGGAGGACUCGGGUCUAAGAAGAGGAGCUUUUCUAGACCCCAGGCGUGGAAAGAUGAGUGAUGUUUUGAAUAUCAUCCCUGCUGGAGUGUGAUGAGGUUCCCUCAGACAUGCAUAGCUGCUGAGAACACUCAGGUUGAGACAUGAUGUAGCAGUCCCAGGAGCCCUUCCAGCAGAUUCCUCUUGGGCCAGUGUGCAGGGCAGUGAGCUGGGGCUGUCCAAGCUGGGGCUGUCCAAGCUGGCAGCAGAAGCUGAGCCAAACCAGCUGUUCCUAGGGACCAACAUCCCUGGGGACAAAGGUCUUCCCCAGGCUCCUUGGGGACUGCUCCUCUAGACUCUUCCACUUGCUGAUGCUUUGCUGUUCUCAGCGAGCAGUGAGAACUGUGAGGAGGGAAGGGCAGACAUCAAAAGCUCAAUGGGAGCAUCCAAAAGUUCAUCUGGAGCACACAGACCUUCAGCGUUCGUAACGGGAAGCUGGAGAGAUUUCAAGGACUCUCAUCCCACCUCCUGGCGCUUCUGUUUCUGGUUAGGGCCAGACAUAACCACAAGAACAAGCUUUCUCACGGUGUUUCAGCACAUUUCCUGUUGGUCCUGGAAGAACAUUUGAAAUUAAGAGGACAUCUAGCCUUUGUAGAACCACAAAGACUCUGUUUUGGAGAGAGGUUCAGGCUCUGAGUCCUGGCGAGGGGUGAGUUUUGCUGUCUUGAGCCACUUUGUGCCAUUCCCAACUACUAAGUGCCCCCCUGACCAAAAGGGAAGAGUUGAUUUCAUGUUCUGGAGAAAUCAGUCAUGGUCCUGCUGUGUUCCAGUGCCGUGGGAGCAAUCCUGGGAUGCUUCAGGAGACUGGGAUGGAGCAGCCUUGUGCAAUGGGUGAUUCUGGAGCCUGCAGAGGGUCAGAGGUUAAAGAGCACCCCAGCACAGAAGCUCAGACAACCAGCUCAGGAGUGUUGGGACACAUCAACAGAGAAGGAUCAAACCCACAGAGCUGGGCUGGAAUUUAACCCCAUCUUGCUGCAAAGCACAGGAGGGACCUGCUGGGAUCCUGGAUCCAGGUCGGACACAGCCCAGCACGGAGAGGAGCUGCACAUGUCCUCGGCCCAUCUGCCUUUGAUCUUCAGCUCUGUCAGGAGAGAUGCUGUGGAGGAAUCUGGCCCGUCAGGCUUUUGCCCCUCCUCAGUCUCCCCCCACUGCCCUUUGAGCUCUGAAAACUGCAAGUUUGGAAAUGAGCCUUGGUCACAAAAUCGCCCACGUCCUUCCAGCUGCAAACCUUCCCCCCCUGGGAGCCCCGAGGGUGCUGAGCUGGUCCCAGGAGUGAUGCCAUCACCACAGCCCAGGAAAGCUGGAGCUGAGCUCAGGCAGACGCCCUGGCACGAGGCCACGGGUGGCAGGAGGUUGCCCAGGCAGGAGGACAGGACAGCUGGAGGACAUCAAGGAGCCUGAAUUGGGGCUACAACCUGAGAUAAACCUAAUUUUCCUCCUCUUCUUCCUGGCAGCCCCUUAAGGCUGGGUCUUGGAGAUGCUUUCAAGCACCUCAUGUCUGGAGGUGGCCCCUCAGCAUCUCCCACCCAUCCCUCUGCUGUGGUGGAGCUCGUGCUUUCCAGGCUCGUGGCAGAAAUAAACCCAAAAGGUGAAGGAAAAUGUGCCCUAGUUGUGCUGGAGGUUGUCUGAAAAUCUUCCUUCCAGCCCUGGGUCCUCUGAGCUCUUCUCUAUCUCUGGUGAUCCAAAGCUGCCUUGAAACCAACACCCCCACCCAGCCCAUGAUGGUGAUCACCCAGUCCCAGCUCCCCAAAAUUAGGUCUGUUGUCCAUGUUUCCCAACAGCAAGGUGACCUGGUGGGGUGAUAGCUGGACCAUGCAGGUGAAUCUGCAGGUCAUGGUACCAGGAUCUCAAGUAGUUUCCCAAUCUAGCUCCUGUGGGCUGGAGAAAGACUCACUUCCCACCUCAAAUGCUCUUCAGAGCACCCAAAUGUAUUAAUGUUGGUAUUAAACCUUUCUUCUCUGCCAGAUUUUCCUACCUAAGCUGAGUUUCCACAGAAGAGCCAGAGGUUGGAAGGCUCAGCAAGGCUGGUGGUGUCUUCUUUGCAGAAGGGAGAGCCCUGGGUGGCAGGAGAGGGUUGUGUGUCACUUCCAUAAUGAGGAUGGUUCCGGGGGGAGGAAAAAUGAUCUCCCAGCACAGAGUCUUCACCACCAACAAGAAAUGGCUGCUUGGGGACACUGCUUUUCCUGGAAGCA